UCGUACCGUCGUCGUGGCUCGUACCGUCGUCGUGUCUCGUACCGUCGUCGUAGUUCGUACCGUCGUCGUGGCUCGUACGAUCGCCGCUGAACAUAUAAAUGAUCCCGUUCAAGACCAAAUAAACUUGACAAGGAAUCUGAACAAGAAACACUGUGUAUCCACUAGAUUAUCCAUUCUAAGGUUAAGGGAAAAACUGGGUUUAGUUGCCGAUGCAGUGACUUUUGGGACCCUUUUAGGGAACGAAACAGACGCCAUCUUGGAAAUAUGCUCCCUAAAACUGUCCAACUGCAAUCCCAAUUAAACCCAGUGAUUUUCUCAACCUAAGAAUGCCUAAUAGCAUCAAACCCAAGUUAUGAGAAAAAAUAUUCUAAAACUA